rnacentral:rRNA from 1 species
UGGGGAAUAUUGCACAAUGGGCGCAAGCCUGAUGCAGCCAUGCCGCGUGUGUGAAGAAGGCCUUCGGGUUGUAAAGCACUUUCAGCGGGGAGGAAGGCGUUAAGGUUAAUAACCUUUGCUCAUUGACGUUACCCGCAGAAGAAGCACCGGCUAACUCCGUGCCAGCAGCCGCGGUAAUACGGAGGGUGCAAGCGUUAAUCGGAAUUACUGGGCGUAAAGCGCACGCAGGCGGUUUGUUAAAGCAGAUGUGAAAUCCCCGGGCUCAACCUGGGAACUGCAUCUGAUACUGGCAAGCUUGAGUCUCGUAGAGGGGGGUAGAAUUCCAGGUGGAGCGGUGAAAUGCGUAGAGAUCUGGAGGAAUACCGGUGGCGAAGGCGGCCCCCUGGACGAAGACUGACGCUCAGGUGCGAAAGCGUGGGGAGCAAACAGG